UAUUUGUAGCAGAAAAAAAGAAGAGGAAACCAAAAGCUGGUUACUUUCAUUACACAAGAUUUUAAUCCAGGGAUGUUUGUAAGAAGAAGAAAAAAAAGUUAUUUUUCAAAACAAAAGGGGGAGAAAUAGCUAGCUUAUGAAGCACUUAAUAUUCUUAUUCUAUGUAUCUAAGCAGUAAGCAACAGCAAAAAAAAAAAGCAAAAAGUAAAGAAAAAAAAAAAAAACCACUAACAUGGAUGAGUUUAGGAUUUAAAUAUAUUCAUCCACUUUAGCAAUUUCCUUGUUUGACUCUCUCCUAUUUCAUUUUGCCUUUCUUCAUUUUUUUCAUUUGAAACUGUGUAAUAUUUGAGAUAUAACUGGGUGAGGGAAAUACUACCGUGAUUGUUUUCAUGGGAAAUACAUGCCUUGGAUCUUUCAAGGGUAAUAAUCAUUUUCAGGGCUCCAAUACCACCACUGGUGCCAAUUUGGCUCCAUCCAUCAGCCCCACAGCUAACACCAUGAGAAGAGCCUUUGAUCACCAAGCUCAUUUUGUUUUAGGCCGUAAGACCCCUAAUAUCCAUGAGAUUUACACUUUUGGCCGCAAAUUAGGACAAGGACAGUUUGGGAUUACUUACUUAUGUACCGAGAUUUCGACCGGGAUUGAAUAUGCUUGUAAGUCAAUAUCGAAAAGGAAGUUGAUUCGCAAGGAGGAUGUGGAGGAUGCUAGGAGGGAGAUUCAGAUUAUGCAUCAUUUGGCUGGUCAUAAGAAUAUCGUGUCGAUUAAAGGCGCUUAUGAGGAUACUUUAUACGUGUAUAUCGUGAUGGAGUUUUGCUCCGGAGGCGAACUGUUCGAUAGAAUUAUCCAGAGAGGGCAUUACAGUGAGAGGAAGGCAGCUGAGUUGACUAAGAUUAUUGUUGGUGUUAUUGAGGUUUGCCAUUCACUCGGGGUUAUGCAUAGAGACUUGAAGCCUGAGAAUUUCUUGUUGGUUAACAAGGAUGAUGAUUUCUCACUCAAGGCCAUUGAUUUUGGACUCUCGGCCUUCUUUAAACCCGGGGAAAUCUUUAGCGAUGUUGUUGGAAGCCCGUAUUAUGUCGCUCCUGAAGUACUCCUCAAACAUUAUGGACCUGAAGCAGACAUAUGGUCUGCAGGAGUUAUACUCUAUAUAUUGCUAUGUGGCUUGCCACCGUUUUGGGCAGAAACAAUACAAGAAAUCUUCGCUGCUGUGCUAAAAGGACAUAUUGAUUUCAGCUCUUACCCAUGGCCCCUAAUAUCCGAUAGCGCAAAGGAUCUAAUCCGGAAGAUGUUGUGCAUUCACCCUUCAGAACGGUUGACAGCUCAUGAAGUAUUAUGUCAUCCUUGGAUUUGUAAAAAUGGGGUUGCCCCAGAUAAGGCACUGGAUCCGGCAAUACUUUCUCGCCUCAAGCAAUUCUCGGCAAUGAAUAAAUUAAAGAAGAUGGCUUUACGGGUAAUAGCUGAAAGCCUCUCUGAGGAGGAGAUUGCUGGUUUGCGAGAAAUAUUUACAGCUAUGGAUACUGGUAAGAGCGGUGCUAUCACAUUUGAUGAACUCAAAGCCGGUUUGCAAAGAUAUGGUGCCACCUUGAAAGAUACAGAGAUUCAGGACCUUAUGAAUGCAGCUGAUGUGAGCAAUAGCGGGACCAUCGAUUACGGUGAAUUUAUAGCUGCAACAAUUCACCUUAAUAAGCUAGAGCGCGAGGAACAUCUCGUUGCAGCAUUCCAAUACUUUGAUAAGGAUAAAAGUGGCUAUAUUACGAUUGGUGAGCUUAAACAAGUUUGUGCCGAGCUUAACGUGACAAAUGUUUUACUCGAGGAUAUAAUCCAAGAAGUCGAUCAAGAUAACGAUGGAAGAAUCGACUAUGCUGAAUUUGUUGCCAUGAUGCAAAAAGGCAAUGCAGGAGUUGGUAGACGACCCAUCAGAAACAGUCUGAAUAUGAGCAUAAGAGAUGUGCCGGGUUCUCAAUAAUUGCUGGCCACACACAUCAUGUACAGAUUUGGGAACAAAACAACAGUUUCUCCCCUCGUUCUUGUUGGUUUCUCCCUUGUUCUUGCUGGGGAAGUCUACAUUAAUUAAUGCACUCUCAGAUAGUAAUCUGUAUAGUGAUGCAAGAUUGUUUGCAACAUUGGAUGGUUGAUUAAAAAGUGUUGUUCUUCCUUCAGGGUGAGAUGGUUUGCUGUCACUCACUGUUAUUAUUGUUGUUAUUGUUAUUGCUUUUCUUUUGAGCAGUCUGGUUCUAAAUGAUAUACUGACCUUAUCCUAUAGGCAGCAACAUUUUAUCUUUUGA